GACGAACGCGGCGGCGUGCCUAAUACAUGCAAGUCGAACGCUUCUUUUUCACCGAACUUCGGUUCAUCGAAAAAGAGGAGUGGCGAACGGGUGAGUAACACGUGGGUAACCUGCCCAUCAGAAGGGGAUAACACUUGGAAACAGGUGCUAAUACCGUAUAAUGCUUUUUCUCGCAUGAGAGCAAGCUGAAAGGCGCUUUUGCGUCACUGAUGGAUGGACCCACGGUGCAUUAGCUAGUUGGUGAGGUAACGGCUCACCAAGGCCACGAUGCAUAGCCGACCUGAGAGGGUGAUCGGCCACACUGGGACUGAGACACGGCCCAGACUCCUACGGGAGGCAGCAGUAGGGAAUCUUCGGCAAUGGACGAAAGUCUGACCGAGCAACGCCGCGUGAGUGAAGAAGGUUUUCGGAUCGUAAAACUCUGUUGUUAGAGAAGAACAAGGAUGAGAGUAAAAUGUCAUCCCUUG
rnacentral:rRNA from 1 species